UACUAGAGUAGCACUCGCAUAUCAAUAAGCGGAGGAAAAGAAACUAACAAGGAUUCCCCUAGUAACGGCGAGUGAAGCGGGAAGAGCUCAAAUUUGAAAUCUUAAAGGGUUUCCCUUUACGAAUUGUAGUUUAAAGAAGUGUUUUCUGUUGAGGUUUUGGUAAAAGUUCUUUGGAAUAGGACAUCAUAGAGGGUGAGAAUCCCGUAUUUGACCUUUACUUUCAACUUUGUGAUACACUUUCAAAGAGUCGGAUUGUUUGGGAAUGCAGUCCAAAAUGGGUGGUAAAUUUCAUCUAAAGCUAAAUAUUGGCGAGAGACCGAUAGCGAACAAGUACCGUGAGGGAAAGAUGAAGAGAACUUUGAAAAGAGAGUUAAACAGUACGUGAAAUUGUCAAAAGGGAAGCGUUUGACACCAGUGUUGUUUUUCUGAAAAUCAAUUAAAGAACUGUUUAUGCUAAGUUGUUUAGACUUUAUCAGCUAUCUGUUUAGUUUUGAGCUUUUCUUUAAUGCACUUUUCAGUUAACAAGUCAACAUCAAUUUCUUUUGCUGUAAAAAAGCUUGAGGAAGGUGGCUUGAGAUUCGUCUUAAGUGUUUAUAGCCUCUUGCCUAUGCAGUCGGAGAGAUUGAGGUCUGCAGCGUAGAUCCUUCGGGGCUAAAUGCAUUCGUGCUAAGUUAUAGCAUUUUAUAGACAACUUGUUGACUAUGAUUUGUCUUGUAGCUUACUCGCUUAUGUUAUUUUACCUACGCUUAGGAUGUUGAGUCAUCACACAUCUCU
rnacentral:rRNA from 1 species